CUUCAGCAGGUCUCCAAGGUGUAUCAGACUAUGAAAAUUGAGAGUCUAUCGCAGAUGAUCCCAUUUUUUGAUUUUUCUGCCGUGGAGAAAAUAUCAGUUGAUGCAGUUAAACAAAAUUUCAUUGCCAUGAAAGUUGAUCAUUCGAGGAACAUUGUGUCAUUUGGCAAUUUGGGUAUUGAAUCAGAUGGGCUUCGGGACCACCUGACUGUUCUCGCUGAAUCCUUAAAUAAAGCAAGAG
rnacentral:misc_RNA from 1 species